AUGAAUGCCAUCCAAGCAUCUUUUGAGGACUUUGAAGUAAACUUUGGACCCGUUUGUGGUGAUGAUGGUGAUAAUCAAGACUCCACCAGUAUGCAGCACUCUACACUGAAUGAUGGACCUGUAUCAUCAAGCAGUCUUCCAGCAUCACCAGACCCAUUUGAAAAAGAACUCCUUGUGAAAUUAAGACGAGUAAACAUAGUUGAUGAUGUCCUUAAUAUCUUCAUGGAACCAAAAAUACUGAAUGCUAAUCUAAAAAUGGAGUUUACAAAUGAGAAAGCUGUGGAGAGUGAUGGUGUGUCAAGAGAGGUAUACUCAGCAUUCUGGGAACAUUUUUUGGAACAGUGUGAGGGGGAAGAUGAACGAGUACCCAGACUACGACCAUACUAUUCUGAGAAGGCAUGGCAAGCUCUUGGAAGAGUGUGGUUGAAAGGAUACCUGGACCACAACAUCAUACCAAUCAGACUGUCACCAGCCUUUGUUCUUGCCUGUUGUCAAGGACUUGGUUCAGUGGAUGAAGAACUAUUGAUGAUGUCAUUUUCCAAAUUUCUUUCAGAGAAUGAGCGUGCAUCACUUGAAAAAGCACUACAGGGCAAUAUUGAUGAAACUGUUGAAGAGGACUUACUCGACGUCUUCUCAAGAAUGGGCUCACACUGCCUGCCCUCUAAAGACAACGUACAGGCUGCCAUUUUAACAAUGGCACACAAAGCUCUUCUUCAAGAGCCAAAGUUCAUAAUUGACUGUUUCCACUCCAGUAUUCACAAUGCUGUGCCAACACUCAUAACCAAAGAAAGCAUAAUGGAGCUUUACGAAUCUAAGCGGCCAACUAACAAGAAAGUGGCCCAGAUGAUAAAGCCAUCAACUGAAAGCCUAAAUCCACAAGAGCAGACAGCUCUUAACCACCUUCUACGGUAUGUGAGAAGCAUCGACCAAAGAAAACUGGAGAUCUUCUUACGCUUCUGCACAGGGUCCACUGUGCUGUGCACAGACACAAUCAAAGUAACUUUUAAUAGAUUGUUUGGUUUAAGUCGCAGGCCUGUAGCACACACAUGUGGAGCAGUUCUUGAGUUACCAUGCACCUACAGCUCAUACCCUGAGUUUUGUCAAGAGUUUGACAAUGUCCUGUCUGGUGAUUGCUUUACAAUGGAUAUUGUGUAGUGAAUGUAAGGGAUCUUACACAUGUUUCUCUUCUACUGACAUUGUUAUGGCAAAUGUCUGAAACAAAUCUACAGAUUUACAUUUAAAAAACUAUAUUUGUUCAUUCAUGUAUUACAACUAAGAAAAAAAAUUUCUACAAGGAGAGGAGAUAAAAUUAGAUGCAUAAUCUGAUGACAUUGCUUUAUUAAACCUUUAUUAAAACUGAAACAAACAGUUUUUACAUUUUUUUACUUUGGUUUUGUUAUUUUCUUAUUGUUAAUGAUUUUGUUGUAAUAUUUGUCGCACACUGAGUUAUACAUUUUGUUUAAGUCCAGAAGACAGUUUAAGUUUAAUCAUUUUGAUAAGUCAGAAAGGUCUGCUCUCAUAGGUGAACAUCCCUUUUCAUUUUCAUAUUAUCGUGUGCAUGUUUUAUGCAAUUGUUAUUAAGAAAGAAGUUCAGCAUUCAACAAAAUAAUACCUGUUUGAUGUACAUACAGUACCAUUUCAAAUGGCUACCCAUGGCUGUUUUUGUUGGAGCCUCAUAUGGUAAACAUACAGACAGUAACUGUCAAGAGCACAAUAUUGUUGAAUAAAAAUGUAAUUCCUCUUUCAUGUCCUGCCAUGUUGUUUUUCUUUGUUGUGAUUUUGUUUGUUUCCUGUUCAUGACUGAUGUAAAGGCAAAGUAAAACAUCUAUGACAAUACUCCUAUAUGCUGUUCAACAAAUGUAAAUCUCUAAUUCCAGCACAAAUUACUGAGAAGAGCUAAUACCCUGUCGUUUGAAAAAUCUGAGGUAAUCCCAGACUGAUUCAAUGAAACACAGGCUUCAAGAGACAGAAACAACUGAGACAGCCUAAAUCCACAGAAGAACUGCUAAAAGUUAUCCAUGAGUUAUCCAUCUGCCAACUACCUUGAAAAACUUUGUGCACAAUAUCGCUGCAAAUGUUCUUAAUGUCUGUAACAGUCAGUGUGCACAUAUUGACAGAUCAAUCCUUUUUCCAAGGAGAAAUAAUCCAAAAUUCCAAAUAUAGCUUCUACAGAGUUCCUGGGAAAACUUUACAACUGAGAAUGUUUGGUGAAUAAAGCAUGGUGGACUGCAGAAGAAUUGUCUGAUCACGUGUUCAGUUUAGAUGGAUACAAAUGUAGUUCCAUCUCAAAUUAGAGAGCAGAUCUUAUCUCAUUCCUCAAAUGCAGGUACAAAUCCAAUGCUUGAUAAGCAUCAGCUGGAAGAUGCAGCUGUGACUCCACCAUCAGAACAUUGCAGAUGUUGUAGAUGUCUGUGUCACAUGGCACUGCUGGUCGAAAUGUGCAGUUACUCUGACACAACUGCACAUCAGCUCUGUCCACUGGGGAAAUGCAGUCAUCACUUGUGUAGAGUUCUGGGAACAUGUACAUGAUUUGAGGUCAACCACUGGGUACCCUGUCAUUCUUCGAUGGUCUGAUGACAUGUGAAUCCCACACAUGGAUGGUCUCAUCUAAUUCGUGCUGGAAUAACGGUGUAUUAGAAAGUAAGAAAACAAGUUAAUUGAUAUGAAAUUUGUAAUUCUCAUGUGGCUCUUAUAUAUGUUUUGAAAUAAAUCAUGUUAAAUGCUGACUUUUCUGAUGAAGUAAGGAGAAAUGGUAGGAAAAUAAACAAAAUAUCGAAGAGCAGAGAGAUGGAUUCGCAGCCGUUGCUGUUAUUUCGUGCUCCGUCUGAUAGAGUUUGCUCACUAUAUAUUAUUUUCUAUUAUUAUUAUUUAUUAUUUUAUUAAAUACUAAAGUUGUAAGUGUUUUGGCACGGCUGGCUGAGUGGCGCUAUCCAUGGUACUUGUUUUGUGUUUUGCAUGAUCGCAUAUAUCAAUAUUAAAUUGAGAGCGGUGAAGACGCCUUAAGGGAAUGAAAAGCCAUCAAAAAGAAUAAGAAGGCUUUUUGGAUUAAUUGAAUAAAGAGAAAUAUUUUGAGUAUUCUUUGGAAGUUUAUCUUCGAUUAAAAUGGCAGUUCAGAGUAAGCUAAAAUAAAUCAUUAUGAAGAUGCCGUGGCGUGUCUGCGCUCAUCCAGAGCAGGACGAUUCAGGACCGUGGACACCAACAUUGCAGCACAGACCACAUAAACACACACAAGGAGGCUUAUAGUCGACAUAUAGCUCUCUCUCACACACACACACACUGAAGCAUCACAAUGUAACACACACACACACACACACACACACACACACACACACACACACACAUUAGUCAAGCUGUUGUCAUAUUAGGCCUGAUUAUGUGUAUUUUAUGGGAUAUGUGCUCCUCUGCUGCCACUCUGGAUGUCUGAAACGUAUUCAGGCAGCUUUUACAGUGCUAAACCAUUAUCGACCGGCACCUCCCGAAUCUGUGCACACAUCAAAUCACACACACAGUCAUUCCCACCCCCCAGAAUAGAUGGAUUAUUGAAUAUAUAGUAUAAUGUGGCGGUGUCAGGCCUGUUUUCUGUAUUUUUAUUAUCUUUAUUAGAUUAUUUCCUUAACGAUCAGUUAACUGUAAACAAUUAAAUGAUUAACAGAUUGAUUGAAUGGUUGGCUGUUUGCUUGGCUCGCUGCCCGUUUUCCUGAGUUGCUUUUACUGUGUUUAUUCUCAUUAAAUAAAGUAUAAAGUUUGGGCAACAAAAUUAGUUUUAGGCAACUUUUUCUACCAUUUUGGUGGUUUCCACCCACAACAAGUUAUGUUAUAUUCUAAUUAAUCAGCCCCUUCUCUCAUCUAUCAGUAGUAUGAUUGACACUGAGAGGGCACACACAAUGUGACGAUAUGGCAGACCGGUGCGUGGCGCCUCCAUGCUCAAAAAACCCUGUUAGAGCCAUUUUCGCGUUUCAUUAUGAAUUAUUAUUGUAGGACACCACAUGGAUGACAGUGAUUAAGACAGGUGGACAGCUGCUCAUUGGAGAAUGUAACAACAACAAAAAAACAUUUGUGGGACACAAUUUAAGAUGAAAUUAGGUUUUACAUAACAAU
rnacentral:lncRNA from 15 species